UUUAUGGAGAGUUUGAUCCUGGCUCAGGAUGAACGCUGGCGGCGUGCCUAAUACAUGCAAGUCGAGCGAACAGACGAGGAGCUUGCUCCUCUGACGUUAGCGGCGGACGGGUGAGUAACACGUGGAUAACCUACCUAUAAGACUGGGAUAACUUCGGGAAACCGGAGCUAAUACCGGAUAAUAUAUUGAACCGCAUGGUUCAAUAGUGAAAGACGGUUUUGCUGUCACUUAUAGAUGGAUCCGCGCCGCAUUAGCUAGUUGGUAAGGUAACGGCUUACCAAGGCAACGAUGCGUAGCCGACCUGAGAGGGUGAUCGGCCACACUGGAACUGAGACACGGUCCAGACUCCUACGGGAGGCAGCAGUAGGGAAUCUUCCGCAAUGGGCGAAAGCCUGACGGAGCAACGCCGCGUGAGUGAUGAAGGUCUUCGGAUCGUAAAACUCUGUUAUUAGGGAAGAACAAAUGUGUAAGUAACUAUGCAC
rnacentral:rRNA from 1 species